CCUACGGGAGGCAGCAGUGGGGAAUAUUGGGCAAUGGAGGCAACUCUGACCCAGCAACGCCGCGUGAAUGAUGAAGGUCUUCGGAUUGUAAAGUUCUUUUCUAAGGGAAGAAGAAAGUGACGGUACCUUAGGAAUAAGCCUCGGCUAACUACGUGCCAGCAGCCGCGGUAAUACGUAGGAGGCAAGCGUUAUCCGGAAUGACUGGGCGUAAAGGGUGCGUAGGUGGUUUGACAAGUUAGUAGCGCAACUCCGGAGCUCAACUUCGGAACUACUACUAAAACUGUUGGACUUGAGUGCAGGAGGGGCAAUCGGAAUUCCUAGUGUAGCGGUGGAAUGCGUAGAUAUUAGGAGGAACAUCAGGGGCGAAGGCGACUUACUGGACUGUAACUGACACUGAGGCACGAAAGCGUGGGGAGCAAACAGGAUUAGAUACCCCAGUAGUC
rnacentral:rRNA from 1 species